CAAUUCCCACCAUUCUAUCGAGGUACGAGCCUUGUAAAUUGCCCAUGAACAUGUCUAUCAACUCUCGCUCUAACAACGACGGUUGUACUCUGGCUGCUAACUCCCUCCACCUUUGAGCGUACUCUUUAAAGGUUUCCUCAGACUUUUGUGUUAAAUUCUACAACUGUGUUUGGUUCGGUGCUAUAUUAGUGUUAUACUGAUAGUGUCUGAGGAAAGCUUCG
rnacentral:lncRNA from 1 species